rnacentral:piRNA from 1 species
GGGAAAGAUACGGUCCUCAUGAGGAGGGG